UGCCAGCAGCCCCGGUAAUACGCAGGCGGUUACCGUCGUUCGGAAUUACUGGGCGUAAAGCGCGCGUAGGCGGACUAUUAAGUCAGGGGUGAAAUCCCGGGGCUCAACCCCGGAACUGCCCUUGAUACUGGUAGUCUUGAGUUCGAGAGAGGUGAGUGGAAUUCCGAGUGUAGAGGUGAAAUUCGUAGAUAUUCGGAGGAACACCAGUGGCGAAGGCGGCUCACUGGCUCGAUACUGACGCUGAGGUGCGAAAGCGUGGGGAGCAAACAGGAUUAGAUA
rnacentral:rRNA from 1 species